GCGGAGGGAUCAUUACAGAGUUUUCACAACUCCCACAACCCUUGCGAACCGUACCCAAUCUCGUUCUCGUUGCUUCUGGCGGGGGGGAGCGGGGGGGCGCCCGACACGGCCCCCUCUGCCCCCGCCCGCCAGGGGCGGCGGGCCCUACGAACCUUUGUAUCUCAACCACUAGAAAACCGUCUGAGGAAAAAACAAAAUAAUCAAAACUUUCAACAACGGAUCUCUUGGCUCUGGCAUCGAUGAAGAACGCAGCGAAAUGCGAUACGUAAUGUGAAUUGCAGAAUUCAGCGAACCAUCGAAUCUUUGAACGCACAUUGCGCCCGCCAGCAUUCUGGCGGGCAUGCCUGUCCGAGCGUCAUUUCCCCCCUCACGCGCCCCGUUGCGCGCUGGUGUUGGGGCGCCCUCCGCCUGGCGGGGGGCCCCCGAAAGCGAGUGGCGGGCCCUGUGGAAGGCUCCGAGCGCAGUACCGAACGCAUGUUCUCCCCUCGCUCCGGACGCCCCCCAGGCGCCCUGCCGUGAAAACGCGCAUGACGCGCAGCUCUUUUUACAAGGUUGACCUCGGAUCAGGUAGGACUACCCGCUGAACUUAAGCAUAUGUGAAAACGCGCAUGACGCGCAGCUCUUUUUACAAGGUUGACCUCGGAUCAGGUAGGACUACCCGCUGAAC
rnacentral:rRNA from 1 species